rnacentral:lncRNA from 1 species
GGUCCACCUUGAAUUUCCUGCAGAAUGGAAGCCAUUGUUUUGCAAAGAUGGAAGCCUCUAAGAGAGCAUAGAAGGUAAUAUCUGAUCCAGCAUCAUCUGAAAGAUACACACUGAGCUUGUCUGGUGGAUACUCAUAAGCCAUAAGUGACAGCACUGUGUUAAUAACCAUCACAGGUGGCUCAAUUCCUGGAUCUGCUGUACACACAAAGAUGUCCACUUUUGGUAAUAUCUUCUCAUAUCUGUUUCAAUAACAUACACUUUAUUUCUCCUUUUUAUAUUUCUCUAUGGCAUUUCACUGUACUAAGAAGAAGUAUGAAAGGGGAAAAAAAGAAGACAUAUAAACUUGUUUUAUCUGUUUAGUUUCCUAUGAAUUAUGCAGAUGAGUUUAUAAGAUUUGGAUUUUAUUUUAUUUUCAUCAAUCAUAUACACUUACUAAGUAUAUAAUUUUCUUGUUUCAAAAUUAAAAAUUCAAAUAUAUGCAUUUUUAGUUUUAGUAUUAGCUUAUAAAUUGUUGAAUUCCUACUCAAAACAAAACAAAGUAUAAUAAUUUUAAUGGCACACCACUAUAUAAAGAAAAAUCACAUGAUAAAGGUAUUAUUUUUGUUUAAAAAGAAACAGCUUUUAUUCUGUACGUAAUUCACCUUUUCUUCCACAGACAACUUCAUGCAAAAUUAUCACCAAAUCUAUCAAUCCUAUAACAAUUCAUAAACUUUACAUCUCACACUGCCUAAGUUAAAGCCUAACUAAAAUAUAAAUAAAUCCUUUUAUGCUUCAAAAAUGAAUUAACAUUAAAAAAGUUGAACAAAUUUAAUGAGUGAUAGAAAAAUUUCACACUUUCGGAAUUUGUACAUAGUUUUUUUAGAGUUUCCAGAACAUGGAAUGAAGUUUGCUUACCUCACUAUCAGAAAACAUGUUAAUAAGAUGAAGUGGAAUCUCAAACCGAAGAAUUUAGAAGAGAAAACAAAAUGAGACUAUUUUUUAGUAACAGAAGUGAGUUGGUGAUAUAUUUUAGUUAAAGUCAUACAAGUCAUCGUGAUCAAUUAAUCACAAGUUUUGUUAUGUUUUUGGAUGUUAUAUAACUUGAAUUGAUGAUGGGUAAAGUUUGAAUCUGUUUUGAAAGUAAAGCAGUGAAAAAAGGUGUAGAACAAGAGAGUGCAUGGUGUACCUUUGAG